AUCGCCCUGGAGACCACCGCCCGUGACGGCGA
rnacentral:scRNA from 1 species